rnacentral:rRNA from 1 species
GCAGCCGCGGUAAUUCCAGCUCCAAGAGCAUAUAUUAAAGUUGUUGCAGUUAAAACGCUCGUAGUCGGAUUUCGGGGCGGUGCGACCGGUCUGCCGUUGGGUAUGCACUGGUCGGCGCGUCCUUCCUUCCGGAGACCGUGCCUACUCUUAACUGAGCGGGGACGGGAGACGGAUCGUUUACUUUGAAAAAAUCAGAGUGUUUCAAGCAGGCAGCUCGCUUUGCAUGGAUUAGCAUAGGAUAAUGAAAUAGGACUUUGGUGCUAUUUUGUUGGUUUCGAACACCGAAGUAAUGAUUAAUAGGGACAGUCAGGGGCACUCGUAUUCCGCCGAGAGAGGUGAAAUUCUCAGACCAGCAGAAGACGAACCACUGCGAAAGCAUUUGCCAGGGAUGUUUUCACUGAUCAAGAACGAAAGUUAGGGGAUCGAAGACGAUCAG